rnacentral:rRNA from 1 species
CGGUAAGGCACCUUCGGGUGUACACGAGCAGCGAACGGGUGAGUAACGCGUGGGUAAUCUACCCAUGAGGUGGAGGAUAGCCUCGGGAAACCGGGGGUAAUACUGCAUACGUCUCGACUGACAUAAGUCUAACGAGGGAAAGGCGGGGAUCUUCGGACCUGUCGCCUCUGGAUGAGCCCGCGUCCGAUUAGCUAGUUGGUGAGGUAAUGGCUCACCAAGGCUUCGAUCGGUAGCCGGCCUGAGAGGGUGAACGGCCACAUUGGGACUGAGACACGGCCCAGACUCCUACGGGAGGCAGCAGUGGGGAAUUUUGGGCAAUGGGGGAAACCCUGACCCAGCGACGCCGCGUGGAGGAUGAAGGCCUUCGGGUUGUAAACUCCUGUCAGGUGGGAAGAAGAGUCCUACGGAUAAUACCCGUAGGGAAUUGACGGUACCACCAAAGGAAGCCCCGGCUAACUCCGUGCCAGCAGCCGCGGUAAUACGGAGGGGGCAAGCGUUAUUCGGAUUUACUGGGCGUAAAGCGCACGUAGGCGGCAGUGUAAGUCACAGGUGAAAUCCCUCGGCUCAACCGAGGAACCGCCUGCGAAACUGCGCUGCUUGAGUCCGGGAGGGGGGAGCGGAAUUCCCAGUGUAGCGGUGAAAUGCGUAGAUACUGGGAGGAACACCGGUGGCGAAAGCGGCUCCCUGGACCGGUACUGACGCUGAUGUGCGAAAGCGUGGUAGCAAACAGGAUUAGAUACCCUGGUAGUCCACGCCGUAAACGAUGGGCACUAGUGCAGCGGGUGUCGACCCCUGCUGUGC